AUACACUCAAGGAAAGGCCAUGUGAAGACACAGCAAGAAGGUUGCUUUCUACAACCUAAGGAGAGAAGCCUCAUCAGAUACCAACCAUGCUGACACCUCGGUCUUGGACUUCCAGCUUCCAGAGCUUGACGCCCCACGUACACGAUAACUCUGGUAGAAUGGAGAACGCGCUCCUUAGUGGAAUAUCUACAACUCUUCGGGAUCUGACCUGUGCCCACCUCUGCAGCUGAACUCUUUAUUAUUCUGUCCGAGUAGCCUAUGUCUCAACUCCACUCAUCAACCUGAAGUUCCCAACCAGCCUCUGAUAGUGGUACUACUUUUCACUGGAAUGAAUCAUAGAGGCAAAGUCAAAUGGUUUUUGGGUAUCCUGUCAGAUGCUGAGCUUCAGAAUAAUAUGAGAAGUGAACCAGAGAAAACUGCAGAUUCUGGAUAAAAAUGGCAUUAUCUUUUGGAUCAACCUUUUCCUUCAAGGACAAAUCAGAAAUGUGGAAUGAAUUGAGAACACAGCAGAGGGCAUAGGUUAGAGAUGCACAGACCAUCACUGCCCUGAUGUUUCCUAUUGUUGGGAGGCUGCUUCUUGAUGAAAUGAUACAGUUCUGCAAUUCGAUCCUUUUAAUUAUCUUUUUCAUUAUUACAACAUGCAUCAGGGUCCUAAACUUCCGAGGAUUUA